rnacentral:lncRNA from 1 species
GAGGGAGGUUCUAAUAUAGUUUCACGGGAUGAUGAUAACAGGACAAUAUGACUGGAAGCAGAAAUGAAAAGAGAAAAUUACCGGAGUGAACAGAGGCCAGAGCUUAUCUUAGGAGACCUGAUAGAGUAUGAAGCAGGUUGGAUAUAUAGCCUAGUUGGGGAGCCAGAGGGUGGGGGUGGGGCUGGUUCUACCCUCAGUGCAGAAAAAAAAGCAAAGGUCUGUGCAAUCAUAGGGUUUAUAGCAGGAAGGACCAUUAAGCUGAGCUCUUUCCCCAGAGAGUGGAAACUCAUUCUCAUUUUCCCUUCUUGUUUUUCAUCUUUUGAAAGCCUUACCUUUAGCACUUCCCCCCACCCCCCGUCCUUAGCAUUUUCUUGUAUUUAUUUAGUGGAUUUGUGUGUGUAUGUUUGUGUGUGUGUUUACUCAUGCCAUACAUGGCAUGGAAUAUGUUGGGAGGGGGGAGUCAGAUAACAACUGUGGGAAUUGGUUCGGUCCUUCUACCAUGUUUAUCUUGAGGACUUAACUCAGAUAGUUUGGGCUCAGUGGUGAGUGCCCUUACCUGCUGAGUCAACUUGCUGGACCUUCUUUGCACUUUCUAAACACUUCAGGUCACCUCAUGUACUGCCACCCACAAUGCUUUAAUUGGAAGGUAUGUCCGCAACUCUUUUGAUGGUCACUGCUCAUUGUCAAUCUGACCAGAUUUAGAAUCAUCAUGGAAAUACACCUCUAGAUAUGUCUAUGAGAUCGUUUCUAGAAAGGCUUAACUGAAGAAGGAAGCCUCGCCUUAAAUGAGGGUAGGACCAUUAAACAAGCAGGGUCCCAGACUGAAUAAAAAGGAGAAAGUAAACUGAGUACCAGCAUUAAUUUCUCUCUGCUUCUCGAGGGCACAAUAUGACUAGUCAAUAGGUUUUCUUGUCAUGGUGUACUGUAUCCUCAAAUACUGAGUCAAAAUUAUCCCCUCCCUUACAUUGCUUACCAGGAUUUUGGUCACAGCAAGAAUAAAGUACCUGAGUACACUUAUCUGUAUAUUCUUCUGUCUUUCUGCACAUUACCUUCAAAGUUUGGAACCCCUGAUGACAGAAGCCCUACGGGAACAGAUCUGGGCCCUGGAGAUGAGAACUGUGCAGGAUGAGGAAGAGGGAAAGGCAUCUGACUGAACAGACAGUGACUCCCAAUGCACAAGGAACAGACGGUCAUCCUUACAACGAACCAGAAGCUGCACAACAGGCUGAACAUUUGGGAGUGACUUUCCUUGGGUGAGUGAAAAUGUGUGAUUCUGUUUCAUCUCCUCAGCGGUCUUUUAAUACACCCUAAUCCUCUGGUUCCUAUCAGCACAAGGAACUGGGAGUAAUGGCCUCUCCCUGAGGCUAGAUGAGUGAUUUGUCUUUGCUUUAUUACCCAAGAAAUUAGUGCAGAUUAGUCAGAUAGUACAGACACUCAUACGUGGAUGUUGCACACGAGAGUGGCUUUCUCUGGGAAACAUGUUUAAAAACCAACCCAAACCAACCAACCAACCAAACAAACAAACAAAAACAAAA